CAGAGAGCUUGCUCUCGGGUGACGAGCGGCGGACGGGUGAGUAAUGUCUGGGAAACUGCCUGAUGGAGGGGGAUAACUACUGGAAACGGUAGCUAAUACCGCAUAACGUCGCAAGACCAAAGUGGGGGACCUUCGGGCCUCAUGCCAUCAGAUGUGCCCAGAUGGGAUUAGCUAGUAGGUGGGGUAACGGCUCACCUAGGCGACGAUCCCUAGCUGGUCUGAGAGGAUGACCAGCCACACUGGAACUGAGACACGGUCCAGACUCCUACGGGAGGCAGCAGUGGGGAAUAUUGCACAAUGGGCGCAAGCCUGAUGCAGCCAUGCCGCGUGUGUGAAGAAGGCCUUCGGGUUGUAAAGCACUUUCAGCGGGGAGGAAGGCGGUGAGGUUAAUAACCUCAUCGAUUGACGUUACCCGCAGAAGAAGCACCGGCUAACUCCGUGCCAGCAGCCGCGGUAAUACGGAGGGUGCAAGCGUUAAUCGGAAUUACUGGGCGUAAAGCGCACGCAGGCGGUCUGUCAAGUCGGAUGUGAAAUCCCCGGGCUCAACCUGGGAACUGCAUUCGAAACUGGCAGGCUAGAGUCUUGUAGAGGGGGGUAGAAUUCCAGGUGUAGCGGUGAAAUGCGUAGAGAUCUGGAGGAAUACCGGUGGCGAAGGCGGCCCCCUGGACAAAGACUGACGCUCAGGUGCGAAAGCGUGGGGAGCAAACAGGAUUAGAUACCCUGGUAGUCCACGCUGUAAACGAUGUCGAUUUGGAGGUUGUGCCCUUGAGGCGUGGCUUCCGGAGCUAACGCGUUAAAUCGACCGCCUGGGGAGUACGGCCGCAAGGUUAAAACUCAAAUGAAUUGACGGGGGCCCGCACAAGCGGUGGAGCAUGUGGUUUAAUUCGAUGCAACGCGAAGAACCUUACCUGGUCUUGACAUCCACAGAACUUUCCAGAGAUGGAUUGGUGCCUUCGGGAACUGUGAGACAGGUGCUGCAUGGCUGUCGUCAGCUCGUGUUGUGAAAUGUUGGGUUAAGUCCCGCAACGAGCGCAACCCUUAUCCUUUGUUGCCAGCGGUUAGGCCGGGAACUCAAAGGAAACUGCC
rnacentral:rRNA from 1 species